UAGGGAAUCUUCCGCAAUGGACGAAAGUCUGACGGAGCAACGCCGCGUGAGUGAAGAAGGAUUUCGGUUCGUAAAACUCUGUUGUUAGGGAAGAAAAAAUGUAUAGUAACUAUAUACAAAAGAGACGGUACCUAACCAGAAAGCCACGGCUAACUACGUGCCAGCAGCCGCGGUAAUACGUAGGUGGCAAGCGUUGUCCGGAAUUAUUGGGCGUAAAGCGCGCGCAGGUGGUUUAGAAAGUCUGAUGUGAAAGCCCACGGCUCAACCGUGGAGGGUCAUUGGAAACUAAUAAACUUGAGUGCAGGAGAGAAAAGUGGAAUUCCUAGUGUAGCGGUGAAAUGCGUAGAGAUUAGGAGGAACACCAGUAGCGAAGGCGGCUUUCUGGACUGCAACUGACACUGAGGCACGAAAGCGUGGGUAGCAAACAGG
rnacentral:rRNA from 1 species